AUUGAACGCUGGCGGCAGGCCUAACACAUGCAAGUCGAGCGGAUGAAGGGAGCUUGCUCCUGGAUUCAGCGGCGGACGGGUGAGUAAUGCCUAGGAAUCUGCCUGGUAGUGGGGGAUAACGUCCGGAAACGGGCGCUAAUACCGCAUACGUCCUGAGGGAGAAAGUGGGGGAUCUUCGGACCUCACGCUAUCAGAUGAGCCUAGGUCGGAUUAGCUAGUUGGUGGGGUAAAGGCCUACCAAGGCGACGAUCCGUAACUGGUCUGAGAGGAUGAUCAGUCACCAUGGAACUUAGACACGGGCCCGGCUUCUUAGGGAGGCCGCAGUUGGGAAUAUUGGACCAUGGGCGGAAGCCUUAUCCAGCCCUGGCGGCUGGUUGAAGGAAGUCUUUCGGUUUGUAAGCCAUUUUAGGUGGGAGGAAGGGCAGUUAGUUAAUACCUUGCCUGUUUGACGUUACCAACAGAAUAAGCACCGGCUAACUUCGUG
rnacentral:rRNA from 1 species